rnacentral:rRNA from 1 species
UACAGAGAGUGCAAACGUUGUUCGGAAUUACUGGGCUUAAAGCGCACGUAGGCGGCUCCGCAAGUGUGGGGUGAAAGCCCACGGCUUACCCGUGGAAUUGCCUGGCAGACUGCGGUGCUAGAGUGUGGUAGGGGAGAGCGGAACUCCUGGUGGAGCGGUGAAAUGCGUAGAUAUCAGGAGGAACACCGGUGGCGAAGGCGGCUCUCUGGUCCACAACUGACGCUGAGGCGCGAAAGCUAGGGGAGCAAACGGG